AUUUAAAUAGCUUAUAGUAUAGAGCAUAAUAUUGAAAAUAUUAAGGAAAUUUAAUAAUUUUUAAAUA
rnacentral:tRNA from 1 species